GAUGAACGCUGGCGGCGUGCCUAAUACAUGCAAGUCGAGCGAACAGACGAGGAGCUUGCUCCUCUGACGUUAGCGGCGGACGGGUGAGUAACACGUGGAUAACCUACCUAUAGAACUGGAAAAACUUGGGAAAACGGAACCUAAACCCGAAAAACUUUUGGAACCGAUGGGUUCAACAUGAAAAACCGUUCUUCCUUUACCUAUAAGUUGAUUCCGCGCCGCAUUAGCUAGUUGGUAAGGUAACGGCUUACCAAGGCAACGAUGCGUAGCGGACCUGAGAGGGUGAUCGGCCACACUGGAACUGAGACACGGUCCAGACUCCUACGGGAGGCAGCAGUAGGGAAUCUUCCGCAAUGGGCGAAAGCCUGACGGAGCAACGCCGCGUGAGUGAAGAAGGUCUUCGGAUCGUAAAACUCUGUUAUUAGGGAAGAACAAAUGUGUAAGUAACUAUGCACGUCUUGACGGUACCUAAUCAGAAAGCCACGGCUAACUACGUG
rnacentral:rRNA from 1 species